CAAAUACUCCCUCCGUCUGGAAAUACUUGUCAUCAAAAUGGAUAAAAGGAAAUGUAUCUAGACGUAUUUUAGUUUUAGAUACAUCUCUUUUUAUCCAUUUUGAUGACAAGUAUUUUCGGACAGAGGGAGUAGAAA
rnacentral:pre_miRNA from 1 species